UACGGGGGGUGCAAGCGUUAUCCGGAUUUACUGGGUUUAAAGGGUGCGUAGGUGGAUAAGAAAGUCAGUGGUGAAAUCUUCGGGCUUAACCCGGAAACUGCCGUUGAUACUAUUUAUCUUGAAUACUUUGGAGGUAAGCGGAAUAUGUCAUGUAGCGGUGAAAUGCUUAGAUAUGACAUAGAACACCAAUUGCGAAGGCAGCUUACUACACAGUAAUUGACACUGAGGCACGAAAGCGUGGGGAUCAAACAGG
rnacentral:rRNA from 1 species